UCCGCUGACGACCGGCGCACGGGUGCGUAACGCGUAUGCAACCUACCUUCUACAGGGGGAUAGUCAAUAGAAAUGUUGAAUAAUACCCCAUACGAUCUUUGAAUAGCAUUAUUUAAAGAAGAAAGCUCCGGCGGUAGAAGAUGGGCAUGCGUCCUAUUAGUUAGUUGGUAAGGUAACGGCUUACCAAGACUUCGAUAGGUAGGGGUCCUGAGAGGGAGACCCCCCACACUGGUACUGAGACACGGACCAGACUCCUACGGGAGGCAGCAGUGAGGAAUAUUGGACAAUGGAGGCAACUCUGAUCCAGCCAUGCCGCGUGCAGGAAGACUGCCCUAUGGGUUGUAAACUGCUUUUAUACAGGAAGAAAUAUACCUACGUGUAGGUAUUUGACGGUACUGUACGAAUAAGGAUCGGCUAACUCCGUGCCAGCAGCCGCGGUAAUACGGAGGAUCCAAGCGUUAUCCGGAAUCAUUGGGUUUAAAGGGUCCGUAGGCGGUCUUUUAAGUCAGAGGUGAAAUCCUACAGCUC
rnacentral:rRNA from 1 species